AUGAACGCUGGCGGCGUGCCUAACACAUGCAAGUCGAACGGAGUCCAGCCUUAGAGACCUUCGGGUCAAAGAGGGGAAGACUGAGUGGCGGACGGGUGAGUAACACGUGGGCAACCUGGCUCAUAGAGGGGGAUAACAGAGAGAAAUUUCUGCUAAUACCGCAUAAGCACACACUGCCGCAUGGCAGAGUGUGAAAAGAGAAUCGCUAUGAGAUGGACCCGCGUCUGAUUAGCCAGUUGGCAGGGUAAGAGCCUACCAAAGCGACGAUCAGUAGCCGAUUUGAGAGGAUGAACGGCCACAUUGGGACUGAGACACGGCCCAAACUCCUACGGGAGGCAGCAGUGGGGGAUAUUGCACAAUGGGGGGAACCCUGAUGCAGCGACGCCGCGUGAGUGAAGAAGUAUUUCGGUAUGUAAAGCUCUAUCAGCAGGGAAGAUAAUGGCAGUACCUGAAUAAGAAGCCCCGGCUAACUACGUG
rnacentral:rRNA from 1 species